rnacentral:tRNA from 1 species
AUGCCUUGGCUAAGUGAGCAGCUGACUCUUAAUCAGCGAGCCGUAGGUUCAACCCCUACACGGCCCACCA